rnacentral:rRNA from 1 species
AGCCCGCUCAGAAACUCAAAGGAAUUGACGGGGGCCCGCACAAGCGGUGGAGCAUGUGGUUUAAUUCGAUGAUACGCGAGGAACCUUACCUGGGCUCGAACGUAAGAUGACUGUAGGUGAAAGCUUACAUCUCUUCGGAGCAUUUUACGAGGUGCUGCAUGGUUGUCGUCAGCUCGUGCCGUGAGGUGUCGGGUUAAGUCCCAUAACGAGCGCAACCCCUACCUUUAGUUGCCAUCAGGUAAUGCUGGGGACUCUAAAGGAACUGCCUACGCAAGUAGUGAGGAAGGCGGGGAUGACGUCAAGUCAUCAUGGCCCUUACGGCCUGGGCUACACACGUGCUACAAUGGUCGGUACAAAGGGUUGCCAAGCCGCGAGGUGGAGCUAAUCCCAUAAAACCGAUCGUAGUCCGGAUCGCAGUCUGCAACUCGACUGCGUGAAGUCGGAAUCGCUAGUAAUCGUGAAUCAGAAUGUCACGGUGAAUACGUUCCCGGGCCUU